CUUUCCAACUGCCUCCCAAAGGUGUCCAUGGAAACAGAUAUCCUGGUGUGCUGGUGAAUUUUGAACAGGUCAGUCUAUGGGGCAGCUCUUAAAAAAGUUUAUCUUCACCAAAGACAAAAUUCUGGCUUCCCAGC
rnacentral:lncRNA from 1 species